rnacentral:rRNA from 1 species
GACGGGUGAGUAACACGUGGGUAACCUACCUAUAAUACUGGAAUAACUCCGGGAAACCGGGGCUAAUGCCGGAUAACAUAUAGAACCGCAUGGUUCUAUAGUGAAAGAUGGUUUUGCUAUCACUUAUAGAUGGACCCGCGCCGUAUUAGCUAGUUGGUAAGGUAAUGGCUUACCAAGGCGACGAUACGUAGCCGACCUGAGAGGGUGAUCGGCCACACUGGAACUGAGACACGGUCCAGACUCCUACGGGAGGCAGCAGUAGGGAAUCUUCCGCAAUGGGCGAAAGCCUGACGGAGCAACGCCGCGUGAGUGAUGAAGGGUUUCGGCUCGUAAAACUCUGUUAUUAGGGAAGAACAUAUGUGUAAGUAACUGUGCACAUCUUGACGGUACCUAAUCAGAAAGCCACGGCUAACUACGUGCCAGCAGCCGCGGUAAUACGUAGGUGGCAAGCGUUAUCCGGAAUUAUUGGGCGUAAAGCGCGCGUAGGCGGUUUCUUAAGUCUGAUGUGAAAGCCCACGGCUCAACCGUGGAGGGUCAUUGGAAACUGGGAAACUUGAGUGCAGAAGAGGAAAGUGGAAUUCCAUGUGUAGCGGUGAAAUGCGCAGAGAUAUGGAGGAACACCAGUGGCGAAGGCGACUUUCUGGUCUGUAACUGACGCUGAUGUGCGAAAGCGUGGGGGAUCAAACAGGAUUAGAUACCCUGGUAGUCCACGCCGUAACGAUGAGUGCUAAGUGUUAGGGGGUUUCCGCCCCUUAGUGCUGCAGCUAACGCAUUAAGCACUCCGCCUGGGGAGUACGACCGCAAGGUUGAAACUCAAGGAAUUGACGGGGACCCGCACAAGCGGUGGAGCAUGUGGUUUAAUUCGAAGCAACGCGAGAACCUUACCAAAUCUUGACAUCCUUUGACCACUCUAGAGAUAGAGCUUUCCCCUUCGGGGGACAAGUGACAGGUGGUGCAUGCGUCGUCAG